GAUGAACGCUGGCGGCGUGCCUAAUACAUGCAAGUCGAGCGGACAGACGAGGAGCUUGCUCCUCUGACGUUAGCGGCGGACGGGUGAGUAACACGUGGAUAACCUACCUAUAAGACUGGGAUAAUUUCGGGAAACCGGAGAUAAUACCGGAUAAUAUAUUGAACCGCAUGGUUCAAUAGUGAAAGACGGUUUUGCUGUCACUUAUAGCUGGAUCCGCGCCGCAUUAGCUAGUUGGUAAGGUAAAGGCUUACCAAGGCAACGAUGCGUAGCCGACCUGAGAGGGUGAUCGGCCACACUGGAACUGAGACACGGUCCAGACUCCUACGGGAGGCAGCAGUAGGGAAUCUUCCGCAAUGGGCGCAAGCCUGACGGAGCAACGCCGCGUGAGUGAUGAAGGUCUUCGGAUCGUAAAGCCCUGUUAUUAGGGAAGAACAAAUGUGUAAGUAACUAUGCACGUCUUGACGGUACCUAAUCAGAAAGCCCCGGCUAACUACGUG
rnacentral:rRNA from 1 species